GAUGAACGCUGGCGGCGUGCCUAAUACAUGCAAGUCGAGCGAACAGACGAGGAGCUUGCUCCUCUGACGUUAGCGGCGGACGGGUGAGUAACACGUGGAUAACCUACCUAUAAGACUGGGAUAACUUCGGGAAACCGGAGCUAAUACCGGAUAAUAUAUUGAACCGCAUGGUUCAAUAGUGAAAGACGGGUUUGCUGUCACUUAUAGAUGGAUCCGCGCCGCAUUAGCUAGUUGGUAAGGUAACGGCUUACCAAGGCGACGAUGCGUAGCCGACCUGAGAGGGUGAUCGGCCACACUGGAACUGAGACACGGUCCAGACUCCGACGGGAGGCAGCAGUAGGGAAUCUUCCGCAAUGGGCGAAAGCCUGACGGAGCAACGCCGCGUGAGUGAUGAAGGUCUUCGGAUCGUAAAACUCUGUUAUUAGGGAAGAACAAAUGUGUAAGUAACUAUGCACGUCUUGACGGUACCUAAUCAGAAAGCCACGGCUAACUACGUG
rnacentral:rRNA from 1 species